UUAGAUCAGCAGAAUUGGGGGUUGAAAGGUCCAUCUCAGGAAGGUUUAAAAAAAAAAAAACCAACGAGGAUAAGGAGACGGGAGAGGAAGCGGUAACAAGACAAAAGCACAGGCAGACAUACAAUUCAGAUGCAGGAAAUGGUUCAAGUUGAAGCAGACAGGUGGAAGCAGAGACAGAAAAACAGGGAAGAAAUGAUCCUGGGAAGCUCGACCAGACUACCUUCAACAGCAGACAUGUAUUAGCUCACAUAAGAAGUCGGCUGCAGCUGGUGACUCAGAAAUCAAGAACAGGUCCCAGAAACCACAGGUUUGGUAUGUUGGUAACUGACCGCCUAGCGCCUCGCGCUCCAGACCACGAGGUGUUGAGGGGAGGCAUCUCUGUCUUCCGCUGCUCAGAAGAAACCUGCCCAAGAAGCCCACCAGCCUGUAUUUUCUCAAGAAUCGGUAUCCAGAGUAGAAUCCAUUGCGUGAACCAAUCAAUUGCCCUGAAAGCAGACUCACGGGUGGCUUAGUGAAGGACACAGCUCUGCAAAAGGGGAUGAUGGCUCUCCAGCAGAGCUGCUGUCUCACAUGCAAAACGGCAGGUGGGACACGCUCACCCACAGCAUCUGUGUAGUUAAACACAGCUACUUUUUUCAUUGAAAACAGAAAGCCUGGUUUUCUCCAGCCUUCCGAAAACUACUGCAUCAAUA